UUCAGAGGUCGCCACAGCAUAAUGAACCGCCAAACAUUCCAGCAUAUGUUUUACAUAGCAGAUGCCCUUCCAGCCACAACCCAGUCUUGUGAACCACCCACACAUUCUCACAUUCACACAAGCACUCAUUCACGACGGCCAAAUUAGUUUAUUCAAUUCACCUAUAGCGCAUGUGUUUGGACUGUGGGGGAAACCGGAGCACCCGGAGGAAACCCACGCCAACAAGGGGAGAACAUGCAAACUCCACACUGAAAUGCCAACAGAUCCAGCCAGGACUUGAACCAGAAAUGUUCUUGUUGUGAGGCGACAGUGCUAACCACUGAGCCACCGUGCCACCCAGACAUAGAUCCAGAGUGUAAAAAUCCACAUUAGGUGGUUUUAAACUGACAAAUAAUAUAAAGAAGAGGAACAUCCAGAAAUGAAAAUGUGUGUGCUGGAAUAAGAACAGGUGUGUGUGUAUAUGCGUGUGUUUGUGUGUGUGUGUGUGUGUACCUGAGCCGCAGGAAUGGACAUGCGUGUGCUGUAAUAAGGACAGGUGUGUGUUUCACGGCCAAGUUGUAUGAGCUGCUCCACGUCUCGAACCUUCACCAGCACCUCAUCCUUCAUCGCCAUCAGAUUCUCAAACCCAGAAAAGACACACGUUGCUUUGGGCAUACCACGACUGCGCUUGGACUCGGAGUCUGACUCCUUUUGUCUUUUCUCUGCAAAUGGAGCGCUCAUUCAUCAUUUGGACAUUUCCCAGCCGGACGACCUCUGGAUUGAUACACAGGUUAACCAAGCGAACCGCAGCUCCAUAUGGACUCUUCUGGACCUCAUGCACAAACUGAGCCAGCUGAGAGUGAGUGCGGCUACAGUAAUA